rnacentral:misc_RNA from 1 species
CAAAGCCGACAUCAGGGUUCAACCCGCCAAGAUCGCCUGCCAUCAUUCUCAGCAUUUUCCUCAGUCUGGCAGCAUUUCUCUAACAGCAGCUUCUAGAAUAGUCCUCUCACUUCCUCUUCAGUCACGAAGAGAACUUCUCACAAUAUCUGGACACAACACAGGAUGUGUUGAGAAGCGGUCAUAUCAAUCUUAAAAGCGCCUUCGCUUGCGAACAACAUGGCGGCAAGUUUAGAAGUCCGUCUGUCGUCUGUAAGGGUCAGACUGUUGUUGGUUGUAGCCAUUUUACUAUCACUUGGUGUUGUUGUCCAAGGCUCCCAGCUGACCAAUCGCCUCUUUCAGUGGACAAGAAACCCAGAAAGCUAUCAGUCGUUGGGCAAGCGCCUGACUGGCCACGUAGUCACCACGUACACCAAAUACGUCAACAGUCAGUGUGCACUGGAGUGUCUGCGCAGCCAUCUUUGCAAAAGCUUCAACUUUGACCGAGGCACCGGCAGGUGUGAAAUCAACAGCAUGUCUCACCUGGACUACCCGGCUGACAUCAGCGACUCGGCAAGUUCCGAGUACCAUGUCAAAGAAGCUUUUUCCAUUGAUCCCAGCGCUCUGGGCCCCUGUGCAUCCAAUCCUUGCCGAGACAACGGCCACUGUAUCGAGACCAAGACAGCAGACGACAUUCUGAUCGCCGUGUGUCUGUGCAAAGAUGGCUGGACUGGCUCCGGCUGUCAGUUUCCAGUUGACAGCCCUACAUGGGGCCAGUGGGCAGAAUGGGGCCAGUGCUCCGUUUCCUGUCAACGGGGAUGGCGCAUGCGCACUCGUAACUGCGAAGACAGCAACACAGGACAGACGAUCAGCAGCCUGGAGUGUUACGGGGCUGACGUGGAUUAUGGGAUAUGUGUGCUGCAGGACUGUCCCAAGUGGGAGGAGUGGGGAGCAUGGGGGGAGUGCUCGACUGCCGUGACCUGCGGAAGAGGAUUUAAGGUCCGACGAAGAUCUUGCAGAAACGGAGGUGUGCCUGGGGUGGACAGGUAUUGUCUUGGCUCAACCAACGAGACAACUCCCUGUCAAGGCAUCGACUGUCAAGGUGCGAUGCGUCUGCGUGACGGCGUGGAGCACGGGGAGGGGCGGCUGGAGGUGUACAACGAUGUGACCAGUGAGUGGGGACUGGUGUGUGCCGAUCAGGUGACCGGAGUCGUGGCUGACCUUAUCUGCAGGCAGAUUGGUUUUCCUGGAGCUUAUGCUGCUGUUACUGACGGUCGUUUUGGAAUGAGUCAGGAGCAGCUGUCUGUGACCAUACGUCACAUCCGGUGUCAGGGUGGAGAGAGGCGUAUGUUAGAAUGUCAGCACAACACUUGGAACUCCAGUGGAACAUGUGAUGGGCAGAACAUUGCAGGGGGAGUGCAAUGUAGCGUUAACGGAGUCUGGAGUCUGUGGGGCUCUUGGGGCGACUGCUCCGUGACCUGUGAGAACGGCACUCGUCAAAGAACUCGCACCUGCAGCCACCCGCCCCAGAAGUAUGCUGGGAAGCCUUGUGAUGGAGAGACUGCUCAGUACAAACCCUGUCAGAUGGACCUCUGUCCAGUCAACGGAGUCUGGAAUCCCUGGUCUGACUGGUCCUCGUGCUCCGCCACGUGCGGCAACGGAACCCAGAGUCGCUCCCGGACUUGUCGCGGACCGUUCUUCGGAGGCAAGAACUGCAGCGGGAACAGCAAGGAGACCCAAGAGUGUGCGUCCCGGAUGUGUCCAGUGGACGGUGUUUGGAGCGAGUGGGGCGCGUGGGGUGCGUGUACACUCACCUGUGGUAACGGUACACAGUCCAGAAACCGCACGUGCGUUGGGCCGUUUUAUGGUGGACGUGCAUGCCAGGGUAGCAGCAGCGAAUGGGGAGCCUGCAACGAUUUCAACUGUCCAGUCGAUGGCGAGUGGGCUCCAUGGCAACAGUGGCAGACUUGUAACGUCACGUGCGGAGGAGGGCAACAGAUUCGUGUGCGGCAGUGCUACAACCCCUUGCAUGGAGGCAGCCCUUGCGUCGGUGUUUCCAUGGAAACCCGCAUAUGCGGACAAAAUCCAUGCCCUCUCAACGGCGUGUGGAAGACCUGGUCUGAAUGGAACACGUGCUCUGUCACGUGUGGUGCGGGCGUCCAACUGCGUAACCGCACGUGUGAUGGCCCCUUCUACGGUGGCGCCCCCUGCGUCGGGGAGGUGAACCAGACUCAAACCUGCCAACCCAGACUGUGUCCUGUCGAUGGCCUCUGGAUGGACUGGGGAGCGUGGUCCUCAUGCUCUCUUUCGUGUGGCGGAGGACGACGGACGCGUGCCCGUGUGUGCUACGGCAGUGGUCAUGCGGGCACAGUCUGCCUGGGCAAUGCUACAGAAAGCGUUGACUGCAAUACUAACCCGUGUCCAGUUGAUGGCGUUUGGAACGUCUGGGGCGCUUGGGGCGUGUGCACGCAAACGUGUGGCAAUGGAACGCGCAUGCGCGAUCGGAAGUGCAAUGGACCAUUCUACGGGGGCGCCAACUGCACAGGUCCAUGGCAAGACACGGAGUACUGCAGCCCCAGUCCAUGUCCAAAGGACGGCGUGCUGCAAGACUGGGAGGCGUGGUCCGCCUGCUCUCUCACCUGUGGCACAGGUUGGCGCACACGUCACCGGAAGUGCGCUGGACCCUUCUAUGGCGGGCUUCCGUGCGCAGAUUACCUGAACGAGACUGAGACUUGCUACCUCACACCUUGUCCAGUUGAUGGUGCGUGGAGCGUAUGGGGGGACUGGUCAUCUUGCACGACCACUUGUGGCGGGGGCACAAGCAUGCGAUCACGCACCUGCGUGGAGCCAGUGGACGGCGGUGCACGGUGCCAGGGCGAUUUUAAAGAAGAGAGGAUCUGCAGCAAUCAGUCAUGCCCAGUCGAUGGUGUCUUUAGCGAUUGGUCAAUGUGGACCACGUGCACUUUGACAUGCGGCGGCGGUAGCCAAUGGCGAAAUAGAACGUGUGUGGGUCCCUUCUAUGGAGGACUAGUCUGCCAGGGCGCCUUCAACGAGACACGGAAAUGCAGCGAACAGUCGUGUCCAGUGGAUGGAAUCUACGGGGAGUGGUCAGCAUGGAGCGAGUGCUCUCGCUGACUUGCGACAGGUGGGACUCAGCAACGAAGUCGCACGUGCAUCAAGCCUCAGUAUGGCGGCAAGAACUGCUCUGGUCCAGCCAAUGAAACGCAAGAAUGUAACAUACACCCCUGUCCUGUGGAUGGAUACUUCCACGAUUGGGCCGAUUGGAGCACGUGCACAGUCACGUGUGGUGGUGGCAGCCAAUGGCGAAACCGUGUAUGCCAGCCGCCUCUCUACGGAGGGCGGACCUGUGUGGGCGUGGCCAAUGAG